ensembl:lncRNA
CCGCGUUUCUCUCUCUGUGCUGUGCUAUGUUCAGCUUGUUGUGGACGGAAUGAAUCGAAAACUGUUGCAGUGACCCCCAUAUACAUGUAACCCAAUAUUAAGAGCUCUGCUGCAGUGCUGCAGGCCGGCGUCUCAUCUGUCCUCUGAUAUGUUGCUGUUUGACUAGCUGCUGACCCAGAUUGUAAAUGUUUCACUGAAAUGCCCUGGUCUCUCCUCUUGAUGUUGAAGCGUCCACUCCGGCUGAUAUACUGUGUCUGGGAAUGACUUCAGUUCAGCUCAUCUCUGCUGCAAUCCAUGCACCUGGCUAACUGAUUAAUUCCCCUCAUUGUUUGCUGUAAUACUUCAUCAGCCGUUCCAGGACAUAGAAAAAUGAGAAUAUGUGUCCAGGAGGGUCAACGCUGAAAGUUCAGCCAUGUUUCCCAGGACUGUUCCACUCAAAACAUGGAAAUGUUUAUCUCCCUGUACAUGCUGUUAUAGAGUUGGCCAUUGACUGCCAGGCGCUUGCAAUGAAAUGGGAAUUUAAUUGAAGUUGACAGAAUGAUUUUUUCCCUCAAGCCUAAAAGCAGCCAAAACUAAAAGCAAGAGUGACAGAGUUUUUUUUUUUUGCAAAAUACCUUAGCCUUUUUAUAUAGAAACCACUUUUCGGUCACAGUACAAGCCCAGUUAAGAAUAAAUCAUGGACUGUAAUGGUACAGAGCAUUGAUUUUUCUUUUCUUUUUAAUAUUGCGAUUUGAGCGUUGAAAGUCAGUUUGAGUCUUACUUCUUAGAUUUUUAUAAGGCAUUUUUGAGCAAACAUGUUCAAGUCAUAAUAACCCC